AGUCGAGGGGUAACAAGAUGUAGCAAUACAUUGUUGACGACCGGCGCACGGGUGAGUAACGCGUAUGUAACCUACCUUCUACAGGGGAAUAGCCCGGAGAAAUCCGGAUUAAUACCCCAUAACACAGGGACUCCGCAUGGAGAUAUUUGUUAAAGAUUAAUCGGUAGAAGAUGGGCAUGCGUUCCAUUAGCCAGUUGGUGAGGUAACGGCUCACCAAAGCAACGAUGGAUAGGGGAACUGAGAGGUUUAUCCCCCACACUGGAACUGAGACACGGACCAGACUCCUACGGGAGGCAGCAGUGAGGAAUAUUGGUCAAUGGGCGAGAGCCUGAACCAGCCAAGUCGCGUGAAGGAAGACUGCCUUAUGGGUUGUAAACUUCUUUUAUAUGGGAAUAAAAAGAGUUACGUGUAACUUAUUGCAAGUACCAUAUGAAUAAGCAUCGGCUAACUCCGUGCCAGCAGCCGCGGUAAUACGGAGGAUGCGAGCGUUAUCCGGAUUUAUUGGGUUUAAAGGGUGCGCAGGCGGUUUAUUAAGUCAGCGGUGAAAUCUAGAGGCUCAACCUCUAAACUGCCGUUGAAACUGGUAGACUUGAGUAUAGAUGAAGUAGGCGGAAUUCGUUGUGUAGCGGUGAAAUGCAUAGAUAUAACGAGGAACCCCAAUUGCGUAG
rnacentral:rRNA from 1 species